rnacentral:rRNA from 1 species
CGAACGAACGCUGGCGGCAGGCCUAACACAUGCAAGUCGAGCGCCCCGCAAGGGGAGCGGCGGACGGGUGAGUAACGCGUGGGAACGUACCCUUUGCUACGGAAUAGCCUCGGGAAACUGGGAGUAAUACCGUAUGUGCCCUUCGGGGAAAGAUUUAUCGGCAAAGGAUCGGCCCGCGUUGGAUUAGGUAGUUGGUGGGGUAAUGGCCUACCAAGCCGACGAUCCAUAGCUGGUUUGAGAGGAUGAUCAGCCACACUGGGACUGAGACACGGCCCAGACUCCUACGGGAGGCAGCAGUGGGGAAUCUUAGACAAUGGGCGCAAGCCUGAUCUAGCCAUGCCGCGUGAGCGAUGAAGGCCUUAGGGUUGUAAAGCUCUUUCAGUGGGGAAGAUAAUGACUGUACCCACAGAAGAAGCCCCGGCUAACUCCGUG